rnacentral:rRNA from 1 species
GCGAAGUUCGGGCCGGCAGCCUGGGGAAGACGAACCGUGCAAACGUGGUGCGGAAUCACUGGGCUUAAAGGGCGCGUAGGCGGCUUGCCAAGUCAGGGGUGAAAUCGUGCGGCUCAACCGGAAAAGUGCCCUUGAUUCUGGCGAGCUCGAGGGAGGUAGGGGUAUGUGGAACUGAUGGUGGAGCGGUGAAAUGCGUUGAUAUCAUCAGGAACGCCGGUGGCGAAAGCGACGUACUGGACCUCUUCUGACGCUGAGGCGCGAAAGCUAGGGGAGCAAACGGGAUUAGAUACCCCUGUAGUC